CAGUGUCAGCGGCUCCCUUCUUGCCUAAGGGUUCCUUACCUGUUGGCCUUUGCAUCUUUGGGUAAACUGAGGCUUAGGAAGGUGAUCCAUCCCACCCUCUUCCCUUCACUGGUAAGUGACAGAUCUGAGUCUCAAGACCAGCAGAUGCAAAACCUCCUGCUUUCUGGAGCUCUGCCCUGCGCAGGGCUGGGGCGAGUGAACUGGCCUCCAUCUGGGAAGGAUCAACUUUUUAGAAAAGGCCUGAUGUGGGAACAAGAAAAUCUUCAUGAAGGCUUUUUAAUCAGGGAAGCAGGAACACACAGUGACCUUUCUCCUUGCAGGCUGUUCUGGACUCCCAGGAGGUCCUGACUAGGGGCUUGAAAAUUGUUAAGGAAGCAAGUGCACAGUUUUAAACAUCCCGUUCUGAUGGGGAAGAGGCUUUCGCUGGGGUGGGGGAGGGGCUGGACGUUGCUGCACGGAAUCCCAGUUCCUGUGUCUUCCCUUCAGAGCCCAGAGUUGUCAUCCGAGCAGAAGAAAGAGGCUGAGGUCACUGUCCACAGUGCAGCUUUUCCUGGAGAGCUUUGCACUCUUGCAGGCUGUGGUGCAGGAGCAGCAGGGUUUGAUUCUUAUGUCCAGGAGCAAGAGGGACCCAGCCACUUCCUCUUGGGAGCCCAGCCGAGGACAGUGUGGUUAGAAGAACGUUCUAAUCCCAGCCCCAGAGCUCUGAAAGAAAAAAUGACUAAAAACUCUGGAAUGCGGAGCCUGCCGUUUCCUGUUGAAGCGUUCUGAAUGAAACACGAACCAACAGCUGCAGGACAGAGAAUGAAAACUCCCGAGGGGCUCGUGGCUCCGGCACCCCAAUAGCAGGGCUGUGGGCAGCACGGACUCUCGAGGUCAGUCUAGUCCCGACACUCCCGGUGCCCACCCGUCCUGCUGUCCCCCCAGGAUCCCAGGCUUGUCACACCAAGCAUGGGCUUUUGUUGCUCACAGAAUCAGCCCUGCGUCUUUGGGGGAUGGGAUGAAAAUGCCACUCGCCAGCUCCCAGAGGGGCACUCAGACACCCUGCCAUCUCAGGAGCAGAGAGUGGGCACAUCCCCCACACAGUCACUAUGCUGGCACUCAGCCUCUGGCCACGUGGGCAGUGCCAUCAGCUCAGGCAGCGGUUAGGCAGCCUUCUCCACAGCUGGCUGCUCGCUGGGUGAGGUACAGCAGGGUUCCAGGAGGAGCAAGAGACCAAGAAUCAGGGAAUUCCUGCAGAGCACCCCUGCAUAAAGCGGGGACACAGUGGCAAGCUUUGAGCUCUUUAGGGAGCUAUAAACAUGCAGCAGGCACACUGGCCUCUGUGGUGGGGUUCCACGAACCUCUACACGCUCUGAGCUCCUAAUUCUACCUUUGAAUUAGCCUUCCUUUUCUAUGAAAUACAGCCAGUGUUUGAAGCUCUCUAGACUUUUCCACUUGCUUCCUUCAAGAGAAUUUGGAAGUCCGAAGGCCUUUUUUCACCAAUCCAUCCCUGUUAGUCCAAGCCGGUGGUGCUUUGGGCUGUCUAAUUCUAUUCAAAACAUUGCUAUGGCUUUCUAUGGUUUCCUAUGGCUGCCAUCAGAAUUCAGUCCAUUAGUCAAAAUGGACUCACUGGCCAGGUGUGGUGGUGCUUGCCUGUAAUCCAGCAUUUGGCAGGCUGAGGUAAGAGAAUCACUGUAAAUUCAAGGGUAGUCUGAGCUACAUAGUGAGUUCAAGGCUGAGCUGAACUAAAUAGCAAGAUCCUGUUUCCAAAACAAAGUUCCAUCCCUAUAAGCCGUCUCUAUCCCGCAUCUUUGUGAGGCUGCUGAGAGGCAGACAGUGCCUUCCUUUACAGUUCUAGAAGCCCUUACUAGCUAACAAAGACAGUCUGUGAAGCAUGCUCAUGAAACACUUAGGGGCCUUUGUUUACCUGCAUGAUUUUAUAAAGUAUGCUGUCUUUCUGAGAUUUUGACAAAGGGUCUUAUUUUAUACUGGGUUUCAUCUUUGUCCUGCAGCCUUUUGAUACUUUGAGAAUAUUUUCCCAUUUGUGGAGCCCAUAAGAAACAGAUUUAUUUUCAAACCCAGAAAAUCCUUGACUCUUUUCUGUUUUCUAUAAAUUUUGCUGUAAGAUUUCCUCUUUAAUUCAUCUUUCUCUCUCCUUAUCAUAUGCAACUAAAAUAAACCAGUUGAUGCUUCCAAAA